UGACAUACCAUUUGGUGUGCCCGGGAAAUUUCGAAUGGCAGUUAUCAAGCGAAGAAGGAAGUUUGCUGGCGUGCAUCAUAAAAGAACAUCACUUGUCUGUUGUUCAUCUGCAUGAGUACCAGUGAAGGGGGUCAUCGGCCAUCAAGUUUUUGAUUUCAGUGGUUAAUAGUGAGUGCAGAGUUCGAGAGAAUCACAACA